UGUUCAAGUGAUUGUUAUGCAUGUAUUACUAAAUCUGAUCUGAUAUGGUAACAUUCUUUUCUCUGAUGAUCAGGACAACUAAACUUGCUAAGAAGCUUAGGAACAGUCAUGUGCUGACUCAAUACUACGCUUAGAAGAAUCGUUUGCUCCUGGCCUACUUACAUCCAUGUUGGUAGACUUGAAGAUACUGAGGUUAUUUUUGAUCCCAUGAACCAGCAAAUGGUGGCAAAUUUGAAAAGGUGGAAGAAUUAUAAGUUCAGGACAGCUCUGAAGCUUGUGGUUGUAGAAAGCAUAUGGGAUCAUUUUCAGGGUAAUAAAUCUACAUGGGGAAGCGGUUACUUGCGAUGCUGUGGUGAAUCGGACUCUAACUACUAAUAGUUCAGAAUAAGAUUUGAAGAAUCUAUACAGAAAAUUAAGAGGCGGCCGGCAUCAACAUGUGUCUGGCAAAUUAUUGUUACUUUAUACCUCAAUUUAUUUGUGUUUGAAUAUGGUGCCUUUUUGUGCAUCCAUUUUUUUAUUUUUCCACAAUCAAAAGCUCAUUUCCACUGCAUUAAAGAUAUAUAGCUAAUGAGACCGUUGUAUAAGCUGAAUUAAUUUCAUGUGGUUAUCAUUAUCAUUUUAUCAUAUGGUGGAUUGUUUGCUAUAUUUUCUUCUUACAAUACUCGGUUUAUGCAUGUUUUACUCAAA